CGCCUGAAAUCCUGCCUGCUCUGGCAGCUAGAGGAAAAGUUCAAUGCGGAGCCAGAGGAAAAUCAGGCCUAGGGAAGCAGAGGCCUUAAUGGGCUAAACUAUCACCUCCAACCCUCCCUGGAAAACAAUAACUCCCUGAUCAUCUGGGCCUAGUAACAAAUUAUGCAAGGCAAGUGGCACAAAGAAGCUAGUUUUACUCUGAGGCUCUCUGGCUAGUCCUUUAUGCAGUGGGUGCUUUAAGCAGCUUUUGCUGGGUGUGAAAUGCAUUCUUCAGGAAGAUGCUUUCAGUAAAAGGCUGUCACAUAUUGACUUGAAUUAGAGAUGCUUUGAAGAGUGAAGAAUAUUGGCGGUCUGAGAGAAGAAAGGGAUGAGAGGCACAGCAGGUCAAGAAUUCAGCAGAAACAGGAAGAUUCCACAUGCCACAGAGCAACUAAGCCUGUGCACCACAACUACUGAGCCGUGUACCCCGAGUCCACGCAGCAUGACUGGAGAAAGCCUGCACACAGCAACAAGGACCCCGGGCAGCCAUAAACAAAUAAAUG
ensembl:lncRNA